rnacentral:SRP_RNA from 1 species
UUGGGGAAGUUUAUAAGAAAUAUAGUACUUACUUUGUCAGGUCUGAAAAGAAGCAGCAAGAGUAUUUGUAUUUUUGUAUAUACUUUCCCUUAUUU